AUGUUCAUAAAAGUUCAUCAAAGUCAUUUUAAAAUACAUCACAUCGAGAGCAAACAAUUUGUAGGUUACUUCGGCAACUCUGUGUUAAUCCGGAGUGUUUAUUAUCACGGUGAAACAGCGGAAUGUGAAAAGAAAAUGGGUGGGAGCCGUUGGCUGCCCUUUAAACAAAAUGAGACCGAGAACAUUAAUGGGUUGUGCCUCUCUUCUGCCCUCACUGUCACGGAAGUGGGCCUCGCUACCUCUCCCCGGGAAAAACAUUGGCACAGCACCCUGGGUUGACGCAGGACAAGACUAGUGAGCUUCAGCGGGACCUCUUGAAGGGCGAGCAGGACAUACAGCAGGAGUGGGAUGGGAGUCCACAGGGUAUGUUGGGAUGGAGCUGUCGGAGCUACUUGUUCCUGUUAACUAACUACUUGUUUUCUUUCUUGUUCUACACAAAUACCAUCAAUACCGCCAGUGGUGUCAGGCUACAUACUGAUUACUGCUGGUCCACUGUCCUUUAAGAUUGUAGCCACGAGGGACAUAAUUACAGGAAACGAUUACAGAUUUGUCUGAUAGUUACAAAUAAAUAAUAUUGUAAAAACCUGCAAGCUUUAUGAAAUACACACAAAAGGUUCAAAUACAAUAGCUAAAGGAUUUAUGAAUUAGUCAGUUUUGCUGCGUGGCCCAUGGGCCGAAUCAAGCGCAGAUUAAGCAAUGUCUGUUGUCCCCUCCAGAGAUUGGACACUGAUGAGCUGAGCUGGUGAUCCCUCCUCUCUGCACCUGGGGGCAUCGUUUGCAUCAACAUCAGCCUGAGGAAGGAGGAGGAUAUGGUCAAAGGGAGAGGUACUGGGUGAUAAGGGGUUUCCCUAGCCAUGUGUGUCAAAAUAUGUUGGAUGGGAAUUAUUGUGACUAAACUACGUCAUUGUAAGUCAAACACUUGUGCAACUAGAGAGAUAACACACUCACUAUGUUUACCUAAUGAACUGCUUUGUGUACAGGGUUGAAGGCUUACUUGUCAGUGGCGUUCAGACGGGCAUUGAACUUGAUCGGGAGGUCCACAAUAUGCGUGUGCUGUAGAGGAGAGACGUGACAGAGGAAAGAAGAGACAGGAGAGGAGUGACAGAGGAGCGAGUGAGACCCGAGGGAGGACAUGACUGAUGACAUCCACGCUAAUACAUAUGAAGACUUUCCACUAGCUCUCUCAUCACAGUAUAGGUGAUGCCAUUUUUUGUGAUGGAUGGUUUUCUGGAAGGUUUUGUAAACUAAAAACAAUGCAUACAAUGUCUUCUAAAGCCUGCUGACAUCCAAGCUGUUACAUAGGCUACAAUGUCACAGCAUACAGUGGGGAAAAAAAUAUUUAGUCAGCCAUCAUUUGUGCAAGUUCUCCCACUUAAAAAGAUGAGAGAGGCCUGUAAUUUUCAUCAUAGGUACACUUCAACUAUGACAGACAAAAUUAGAAAAAAAAAUCCAGAAAAUCACAUUGUAGGAUUUUUAAUGAAUUUAUUUGCAAAUUAUGGUGCAAAAUAAGUAUUUGGUCACCUACAAACAAGCAAGAUUUCUGGCUCUCACAGACCUGUAACUUCUUCUUUAAGAGGCUCCUCUGUCCUCCACUCGUUACCUCUAAUGGCACCUGUUUGAACUUGUUAUCAGUAUAAAAGACACCUGUCCACAACCUCAAACA
rnacentral:lncRNA from 13 species